rnacentral:rRNA from 1 species
UGGGAGAUUGGAAUAGGACCCUGUCUUCCUAUUUUCGUUUGGUUUUGGCCCGCGAGGACUAGGGUAAUGAUUAGCAGGGAUAGUUGGGGGCAUUAAUAUUGAAUUGUCAGAGGUGAAAUUCUUGGAUUUAUGAAAGAUUAACUUCUGCGAAAGCAUCUGCCAAGGAUGUUUUCAUUAAUCAAGAACGAAAGUUAGGGGAUCUAAGACGAUCAGAUACCGUCGUAAUAUUAACCAUAAACGAUGCCGACCAGCGAUUAAGAGACGUUGAAUACAAAACACCACCAUCGGCGCGGUCGUCCUUGGCGUCCGUCUUUCGGGGCCGGCGCGGGGACGGCUUAACCCGGUGGCACCGGUGAAUGACUCCCCUACCAUCUUGUGAGAAA